GCUAGCGGCAGGCCUAACACAUGCAAGUCGAGGGGUAACAGGAAAGCUUGCUUUUGCUGACGACCGGCGCACGGGUGCGUAACGCGUAUGCAACCUACCUCGUACUGGAGCAUAGCCCUUGGAAACGGGGAUUAAUACUCCAUGGUAUCAUGAAUUCGCAUGUUUUCAUGAUUAAAGAAUUUCGGUAUGAGAUGGGCAUGCGUCCCAUUAGCUAGUUGGUGAGGUAACGGCUCACCAAGGCGACGAUGGGUAGGGGGCCUGAGAGGGUGGUCCCCCACACUGGUACUGAGACACGGACCAGACUCCUACGGGAGGCAGCAGUGAGGAAUAUUGGUCAAUGGAGGCAACUCUGAACCAGCCAUGCCGCGUGAAGGAUGACGGCCCUAUGGGUUGUAAACUUCUUUUAUAUGGGAAGAAACUUAUCUACGUGUAGAUAACUGACGGUACCAUACGAAUAAGGAUCGGCUAACUCCGUGCCAGCAGCCGCGGUAAUACGGAGGAUCCAAGCGUUAUCCGGAUUCAUUGGGUUUAAAGGGUCCGUAGGCGGAUUU
rnacentral:rRNA from 1 species